UACGUAGGGUGCGAGCGUUAAUCGGAUUUACUGGGCGUAAAGCGUACGCAGGCGGCUGGGUAAGACAGGUGUGAAAUCCCCGGGCUUAACCUGGGAACUGCAUUUGUGACUGCCUGGCUAGAGUCUGUCAGAGGGGGGUGGAAUUCCACGUGUAGCAGUGAAAUGCGUAGAGAUGUGGAGGAACACCGAUGGCGAAGGCAGCCCCCUGGGAUGAGACUGACGCUCAUGUACGAAAGCGUGGGGAGCAAACAGGAUUAGAAACCCCCGUAGUCC
rnacentral:rRNA from 1 species